rnacentral:rRNA from 1 species
ACACAUGCAAGUCGAACGGCACCACGGGGGCAACCCUGGUGGCGAGUGGCGAACGGGUGAGUAAUACAUCGGAACGUGUCCUGUAGUGGGGGAUAGCCCGGCGAAAGCCGGAUUAAUACCGCAUACGAUCUACGGAAGAAAGCGGGGGACCGAAAGGCCUCGCGCUAUAGGGGCGGCCGAUGGCAGAUUAGCUAGUUGGUGGGGUAAAGGCUUACCAAGGCGACGAUCUGUAGCUGGUCUGAGAGGACGACCAGCCACACUGGGACUGAGACACGGCCCAGACUCCUACGGGAGGCAGCAGUGGGGAAUUUUGGACAAUGGGGGCAACCCUGAUCCAGCAAUGCCGCGUGUGUGAAGAAGGCCUUCGGGUUGUAAAGCACUUUUGUCCGGAAAGAAAACUUCUGGGUUAAUACCCUGGGAGGCUGACGGUACCGGAAGAAUAAGCACCGGCUAACUACGUGCCAGCAGCCGCGGUAAUACGUAGGGUGCGAGCGUUAAUCGGAAUUACUGGGCGUAAAGCGUGCGCAGGCGGUUUGUUAAGACAGAUGUGAAAUCCCCGGGCUUAACCUGGGAACUGCAUUUGUGACUGGCAAGCUAGAGUAUGGCAGAGGGGGGUAGAAUUCCAC